UACCUGGUUGAUCCUGCCAGUAGUCAUAUGCUUGUCUCAAAGAUUAAACCAUGCAUGUGUAAGUAUGAACGAAUUCAGACUGUGAAACUGCGAAUGGCUCAUUAAAUCAGUUAUAGUUUGUUUGAUGGUAACUACUACUCGGAUAAACAUAGUAAUUCUAGAGCUAAUACGUGCAACAAACCCCCGACUUCUGGAAGGGAUGCAUUUAUUAGAUAAAAGGUCAACGCGGGCUCUGUGAAAGGCCCGUUCCUAGUUUCCCUUACCGCCGGUUUGUCCUCAGUUCGCUUGCCCCGACCCAAAAUGGCCCUUUAUGAAAUAUUCCCUUUACUUACGAUUUUUAACCAGCUUUCCUCUAAGAGGUUCAGUUCAGUACACACGGUUCGCUAAGUCUAUUCCAGCAACUUAGCAGUCUACUAGUAAUAGCAGCAUAAUAAACAUGUACCUUACUGCCUCGGUGCUUUGUUAUCUGAUAAUCCAUCCAUACACUUCUUCCUUUCUGUCUUCCUGCUUCCCGUCCGUCUUAUCCAGUCAGCACGAUCAGAUACUUAACCGAAUCCCCUUGUUCGUUAGUCACUCAGCCAACCAUCCCCACAUGACCCAAGUAAACAAAGAGAGACGGCUUGGUCUCCAACCAGCCAUCCAGAAC
rnacentral:ncRNA from 1 species